rnacentral:rRNA from 1 species
CCUACGGGGGGCAGCAGUGAGGAAUAUUGGUCAAUGGACGAGAGUCUGAACCAGCCAAGUAGCGUGAAGGAUGACUGCCCUAUGGGUUGUAAACUGCUUUUAUGCGGGGAUAAAGGGGGCCACGUGUGGAGGUUUGCAGGUACCGCAUGAAUAAGGACCGGCUAAUUCCUUGCCAGCAGCCGCGGUAAUACGGAAGGUACGGGCGUUAUCCGGAUUUAUUGGGUUUAAAGGGAGCGUAGGCCGGUCUUUAAGCGUGCCGUGAAAUUUUGGGGCUCAACCAUGAGAGUGCGGCGCGAACUGGCUACCUUGAGUGCGCGGCCCGCCGGCGGAAUUCGUGGUGUAGCGGUGAACUGCUUAGCUAUCACGAAGAACCCCGAUUGCGCAGGCAGCCUGCCGCAGCGUUACUGACGCUGCCGCUCGAACGCGCGGGUAUCGAACAGGAUUAGAUACCCGAGUAGUC